ACUCCUACGGGAGGCAGCAGUGAGGAAUAUUGGACAAUGGGGGCAACCCUGAUCCAGCCAUGCCGCGUGCAGGAAGACUGCCCUAUGGGUUGUAAACUGCUUUUGUACAGGAAGAAACAUUCCCUCGUGAGGGAGCUUGACGGUACUGUAAGAAUAAGGAUCGGCUAACUCCGUGCCAGCAGCCGCGGUAAUACGGAGGAUCCAAGCGUUAUCCGGAAUCAUUGGGUUUAAAGGGUCCGUAGGUGGACGAUUAAGUCAGGGGUGAAAGUCUGCAGCUCAACUGUAGAAUUGCCUUUGAUACUGCCGGUCUUGAGUCACGGUGAAGUUGCCGGAAUAUGUGGUGUAGCGGUGAAAUGCAUAGAUAUCACAUAGAACACCGAUUGCGAAGGCAGGUGACUAACCGUGUACUGACGCUGAUGGACGAAAGCGUGGGGAGCAAACAGGAUUAGAUACCCUGGUAGGAUAG
rnacentral:rRNA from 1 species